rnacentral:rRNA from 1 species
CAGGUGGUGCAUGGUUGUCGUCAGCUCGUGUCGUGAGAUGUUGGGUUAAGUCCCGCAACGAGCGCAACCCCUAUUGUUAGUUGCCAGCAUUCAGUUGGGCACUCUAAUGAGACUGCCGGUGACAAACCGGAGGAAGGUGGGGAUGACGUCAAAUCAUCAUGCCCCUUAUGACCUGGGCUACACACGUGCUACAAUGGAUGGUACAACGAGCAGCAAGACCGCGAGGUCAAGCGAAUCUCUUAAAGCCAUUCUCAGUUCGGAUUGCAGGCUGCAACUCGCCUGCAUGAAGCCGGAAUCGCUAGUAAUCGCGGAUCAGCACGCCGCGGUGAAUACGUUCCCGGGUCUUGUACACACCGCCCGUCACACCACGAGAGUUUGUAACACCCGAAGUCGGUGAGGUAACCUUUUUGGAGCCAGCCGCCUAAGGUGGGACAGAUGAUUGGGGUGAAGUCGUAACAAGGUAGCCGUAUCGGAAGGUGC